rnacentral:sRNA from 1 species
CUGCCGGAACCUGUUCGGGGGAAAUGAAGUGGAUGUGGGUGUCGAUGCCACCGGCGGUGAGGAUCUUCCGCUCGCCGGCGAUGAUCUCCGUGCUGGCGCCGAUCACGAUGUCCACGCCGUCGGCGAUCUGGGGGUUGCCGGCCUUGCCGAUCUUGAAAAUGUGCCCGUCUUUCAGGGCAACAUCGGCUUUGUAGAUGCCGCUGUAGUCGAGCACGAUCACAUUGGUGAUGACGGUGUCCGGGAUGUCCUCCGAGCGGGUCAGUUGUCCGUUCUGGCCCAUGCCGUCGCGG